GCAUUGGCAAAAUCCAGUGCCGGGAUUUGCACCCUGAAUUGAUCCGAGCGCACAGGCGCUCAUUCGAAGCGUCUUUUUU
rnacentral:sRNA from 1 species